rnacentral:tRNA from 1 species
GCCUGGCUGGCUCAGUACGUAGAGCAUGCAACUCUUGAUCUCAGGGCAGUGAGUUCAAGCCUCGCACUGGGCA